GUAGUCGAAAAUUUUCUCGACACUUAAAAGCGUCGAAAAACUCACGUGCUAUGCACGUGAGUUAGGUUGCCCACAAUUUUGAAUUUUUUUAAUGAAAUAAUUAGCGGGUUCGUGUUUUUUCACCCUCAGCUCAGUCGAAUUAGGUUCCCAAUUAAACGUCUUCAAAAAAAAAAAAAAAAAAAAAAAGAAAAAGGUUCCCAAUUAAACUGCCCAUAUUCUAUUCUGCUCUCCUCCAAACUUGGACUCCAUCAUCACUUUCAUCAGCGACAAAAAAAAUCUCAAAUUUUAGGUUAAUUUCUGGGUUUUGCUUGCUAAAUUUCAAGGAAUUUGGGGUUUUGUGGCUCGUCACUUUCAUAAAUUUGAGAACAAGAAUCGAUCUCUUAUUGCGAGAUUGGAAAAGGCAAUGUAGGAGCAACAAGAGAAUAGGUCGGGACACUUGAGCGUCAAAACAAGCAACUAUAUUGUCUAUAACGCCAUCAUCUAUCUAUUUUGGUUUUAGUCUUAUUUAUAUUAGUGAUGUAUUUAUUUAGGGACAAGCUACUAUAAUAUGCGAUUUUUUUUUUAUUUUAGUUAAUUGUGUUGAUGUUUUCUUUUAUUUAUAAAUUUGGUAAUUGUUAGCAA